UGGGGAAUUUUGGACAAUGGGCGCAAGCCUGAUCCAGCAAUGCCGCGUGCAGGAUGAAGGCCUUCGGGUUGUAAACUGCUUUUGUACGGAACGAAACGGCUCUGGUUAAUACCUGGGGCUAAUGACGGUACCGUAAGAAUAAGCACCGGCUAACUACGUGCCAGCAGCCGCGGUAAUACGUAGGGUGCGAGCGUUAAUCGGAAUUACUGGGCGUAAAGCGUGCGCAGGCGGUUAUAUAAGACAGAUGUGAAAUCCCCGGGCUCAACCUGGGAACUGCAUUUGUGACUGUAUAGCUAGAGUACGGCAGAGGGGGACGGAAUUCCGCGUGUAGCAGUGAAAUGCGUAGAUAUGCGGAGGAACACCGAUGGCGAAGGCAAUCCCCUGGGCCUGUACUGACGCUCAUGCACGAAAGCGUGGGGAGCAAACA
rnacentral:rRNA from 1 species